rnacentral:lncRNA from 1 species
CCAUUUUGUGUAUGAAUAUGAGGAAUGGAAUGCUCAAUGGAAAUUCCAAUAGUCAUACAAAAAUCAUUAAAAGUCAUUGAUGAAAAUUCAGCUGCGUUAUCAAGUCGAAUUGACUUGAUUGGAUGAUCAGAGAACUGAGCCCGUAACUUGAUUAUUUGAGCAAGAAGUUUUGAGAAGGCAAAGUUUUGAGAAGAGAGAAGACAAACAUGAG